AUUGAACGCUGGCGGCAGGCCUAACACAUGCAAGUCGAACGGUAACAGGAAGAAGCUUGCUUCUUUGCUGACGAGUGGCGGACGGGUGAGUAAUGUCUGGGAAACUGCCUGAUGGAGGGGGAUAACUACUGGAAACGGUAGCUAAUACCGCAUAACGUCGCAAGACCAAAGAGGGGGACCUUCGGGCCUCUUGCCAUCGGAUGUGCCCAGAUGGGAUUAGCUAGUAGGUGGGGUAACGGCUCACCUAGUCGACGAUCCCUAGCUGGUCUGAGAGGAUGACCAGACACACUGGAACUGAGACACGGUCCAGACUCCUACGGGAGGCAGCAGUGGGGAAUAUUGCACAAUGGGCGCAAGCCUGAUGCAGCCAUGCCGCGUGUAUGAAGAAGGCCUUCGGGUUGUAAAGUACUUUCAGCGGGGAGGAAGGGAGUAAAGUUAAUACCUUUGCUCAUUGACGUUACCCGCAGAAGAAGCACCGGCUAACUCCGUG
rnacentral:rRNA from 1 species